GACGUAGGGCGCGAGCGUUGUCCGGAUUUAUUGGGCGUAAAGAGCUCGUAGGCGGCUUGUCGCGUCGACUGUGAAAUCCCGCGGCUCAACCGCGGGUCUGCAGUCGAUACGGGCAGGCUAGAGUUCGGUAGGGGAGACUGGAAUUCCUGGUGUAGCGGUGAAAUGCGCAGAUAUCAGGAGGAACACCGAUGGCGAAGGCAGGUCUCUGGGCCGAUACUGACGCUGAGGAGCGAAAGCGUGGGGAGCGAUCCGG
rnacentral:rRNA from 1 species